AUGCUCGUUGAAUCUCUUGGCUACAACUUACUUUCAGUAUCUAGACUUGCUGAUUUCGGCUUCAAUGUCCUAUUUACUGAAGUAGACUACCAAGUGUUUUGUAGAGAUAAUCAUAAAAUGGUCUUUACCGGUAUACGUAGAGGAGAUCUUUACAUUGUUGAUUUCACUAAAAAGGCUCAACCUACAACUUGCUUAAUUGCUAAAUCUUCUAAAGGCUGGUUGUGGCAUAGAAGGCUAGGCCAUGUGGGCAUGCGAAACCUUGACAAACUCAUUAAAGGAAAUCAUAUCCUUGGCAUUAACGAUGUCAUAUUUGACAAGGAUAGACUUUGUAGUGCUUGUCAAGCAGGGAAACAAGUUGGAGGAAGUCAUCGCGCUAAGAACAUUAUGACCACAAGAAGACCACUCGAGCUACUUCACAUGGAUCUCUUUGGUCCAAAUGCCUACAAGAGUCUCGGUGGUAACUCAUUUGGUCUAGUCAUAGUUGAUGAUUUUUCAAGAUUUACGUGGGUGUUUUUUCUUGAUGACAAAUCGCAGGUCCAAAAGAUCUUCAAAAACUUUGCUAGGAAGGCCCAAAAUCAAUUUGACGUGAAGAUCAAGAAGGUUCGGAGCAACAACGGAACGGAGUUCAAGAACACAAAUGUAGACACCUUUCUUGACGAAGAAGGGAUUACACAUGAGUUCUCGGCUACGUACACACCUCAACAAAAUGGAUUCGUUGAGAGGAAGAACCGGACUCUUAUCGAGAUGGCAAGAACGAUGUUUGAUGAGUACAAGACGCCAAAACACUUUUGGGCGGAAGCGGUUGAGACAGCUUGUCAUGCAACAAAUCGCUUGUAUAUUCACAAGCUACUCGGCAAGACGGCAUACGAACUCCUCACCGGUAACAAACCCCAAGUUGGAUACUUUCGAGUAUUCGGCUCAAAGUGCUACAUUCUUGAUAAGCAUCAUCGUUCUAAAUUUGCUCCUAAGUCUCAUGAACGUUUCCUACUUGGUUAUGGCUCAAACUCUCACACAUACCGUGUCUACAACAAUUUCACCCGAAAGGUUAAAGAAACGGUAGAUGUGAAGUUUGAUGAAUCUAACGGCUCGCAAGUAGAGCAAUUGCCAAUUGAUAUAGGAGACAAAGAUCCCUUGGAAGAAAUCCAAGACUUGUCUAUUGGCAAGAUUCGUCCAAUGGAGAUAAAGGAGAGUACCUCGUCCGUCCAAGUGGAAGCUUCUACCUCACGACAAGGUGAACCAAGAGUUGAUACGGAAGCAUCCAUGAGUGGGACACACCAAGAUGAAUAA
rnacentral:rRNA from 1 species